rnacentral:rRNA from 1 species
CGCCUUUAGCCACACAAGUAUUAAAGGUCUCGCCUGCCCAGUGAAAUUAUUUUUAAACGGCCGCGGUAUCCUAACCGUGCAAAGGUAGCGUAAUCACUUGCCUCCUAAUUAGAGGCCUGUAUGAAUGGCUAGCCGAGGGUGUAACUGUCUCCUAUAGCCAAUCAAUGAAACUGAUCCCCUAGUACAAAAGCUAGGAUACUAACAUAAGACGAGAAGACCCUGUGGAGCUUUAAGACACCCACUAACCCCGACCCGCCCAGAAUAGUGAUAACUUUAAGUUGGGGCGACUACGGAGAACAAAAAAACCUCCGCGCAUUAUAAAUAGGCCCUCUCAAGGAAAACACCCCAAAAAGAGCCAGCCACCGACCCAGUAGUACUGAUCAUCGAACCAAGUUACCCCAGGGAUAACAGCGCCAUCCUCUUCAAGAGUCCAUAUCGACAAGAGGGUUUACGACCUCGAUGUUGGAUCAGGGCCCCCAAGUGGUGCAGCCGCUACUAAAGGUCCGUUUGUUCAACGGAUAACGCCCUACG